GACGAACGCUGGCGGCGUGCUUAACACAUGCAAGUCGAGCGGAAAGGCCCUUCGGGGUACUCGAGCGGCGAACGGGUGAGUAACACGUGAGUAACCUGUCCUUGGCUUUGGGAUAACCCUCGGAAACGGGGGCUAAUACCGGAUAGGACCUGGCUCUGCAUGGGGUUGGGUGGAAAGUUUUUCGGCCAGGGGUGGGCUCGCGGCCUAUCAGCUUGUUGGUGGGGUGAUGGCCUACCAAGGCGACGACGGGUAGCCGGCCUGAGAGGGCGA
rnacentral:rRNA from 1 species